UACGUAGGGUGCGAGCGUUUAAUCGGAAUUACUGGGCGUAAAGCGUGCGCAGGCGGUUUUGUAAGCCAGAUGUGAAAUCCCCGGGCUUAACCUGGGAAUGGCAUUUGGGACUGCAAGGCUUGAGUGCGGCAGAGGAGACUGGAAUUCCUGGUGUAGCGGUGAAAUGCGCAGAUAUCAGGAGGAACACCGGUGGCGAAGGCGGGUCUCUGGGCCGAUACUGACGCUGAGACACGAAAGCGUGGGUAGCAAACAGG
rnacentral:rRNA from 1 species